GACGAACGCUGGCGGCGUGCUUAACACAUGCAAGUCGAACGGAAAGGCCCUGCUUUUGUGUGGUGCUCGAGUGGCGAACGGGUGAUUAACACGUAAGUAACCUGCCCUUGACUUUGGGAUAACUUCAGGAAACUGGGGCUCAUACCGGAUAUGAGCUCCUGCUGCAUGGUGGGGGUUGGAAAGUUUCGGCGGUUGGGGAUGGACUCGCGGCUUAUCAGCUUGUUGGUGGGGUAGUGGCUGACCAAGGCUUUGACGGGUAGCCGGCCUGAGAGGGUGACCGGCCACAUUGGGACUGAGAGAGGGCCCAGACUCCUACGGGGGGCAGCAGUGGGGAAUAUUGCACAAUGGGCGGAAGCCUGAUGCAGCAACGCCGCGUGCGGGAUGACGGCCUUCGGGGUGUAAACCGCUUUCGCCUGAGACGAAGCGUGAGUGACGGUAAUGGGUAAAGAAGCACCGGCUAACUACGUG
rnacentral:rRNA from 1 species